rnacentral:ncRNA from 1 species
CCAUUGGGCGAGAGGAUUUCCCUGGCGAUGGGGGUUAAGUCGUAACAAGGUAUCCGUUCUGGAAGGAGCGGAUGGAUCACCUCCUUU